rnacentral:rRNA from 1 species
UUCCGGUUGAUCCCGCCGGACCUGACUGCUAUCGGAUUGAUACUAAGCCAUGCGAGUCAUUGUAGCAAUACAAGGCAGACGGCUCAGUAACGCGUAGUCAACCUAACCUAUGGACGAGAAUAACCUCGGGAAACUGAGAAUAAUGCUCGAUAGAACACUAUACCUGGAAUGGUUUGUGUUCCAAAUGAUUUAUCGCCGUAGGAUGGGACUGCGGCCUAUCAGUUUGUUGGUGAGGUAAUGGCCCACCAAGACUAUUACAGGUACGGGCUCUGAGAGGAGUAGCCCGGAGAUGGGUACUGAGACACGGACCCAGGCCCUAUGGGGCGCAGCAGGCGAGAAAACUUUGCAAUGUGCGAAAGCACGACAAGGUUAAUCCGAGUGAUUUGUGCUAAACGAAUCUUUUGUUAGUCCUAGAAACACUAACGAAUAAGGGGUGGGCAAGUUCUGGUGUCAGCCGCCGCGGUAAAACCAGCACCUCAAGUGGUCAGGAUGAUUAUUGGGCCUAAAGCAUCCGUAGCCGGCUCUGUAAGUUUUCGGUUAAAUCUGUACGCUUAACGUACAGGCUGCCGGGAAUACUGCAGAGCUAGGGAGUGGGAGAGGUAGACGGUACUCGGUAGGAAGGGGUAAAAUCCUUUGAUCUAUUGAUGACCACCUGUG